rnacentral:rRNA from 1 species
AACGUAGGUACCGAGCGUUAUCCGGAUUUACUGGGCGUAAAGGGCGCGUAGGUGGCCUGUUAAGUCGAACGUGAAAUCCCCGGGCUCAACCCGGGAACUGCGUCCGAGACUGGCAGGCUCGAAUCCGGGAGAGGGAUGUGGAAUUCCAGGUGUAGCGGUGAAAUGCGUAGAUAUCGGAAGGAACGUCAAUGGCGAAGGCAGCCACCUGGCAUCAUACUGACGCUGAGGCGCGAAAGCGUGGGGAGCGAACAGG